rnacentral:rRNA from 1 species
AAACCGCUUGUAGGGAAACCGGAUAGAACCACAAAGUGUAGCUGGAAAGAGAAAUUCAUCUUUUCUGCACGUUGUUGCUGGUGCAUCGGUUUAUGAAGAUGCAUUUAUAUGCAUCAAGAUCACCAUGUAUGGGGUAACCUGUAUAUGGCCUUGAGCUCUAUAGACUAUGGAAUGUUCCAGGAUACUCUAAGCAGCAUUCGUGUGAGAAGUGCAUUUUCUCAAUUUCCGUGCUCGAGCCUCGACCAAUGUGAAAGAGAUCCAGCAAAUCUCGUAUCCUAGUGAUCAUAGAAAGAUAUGUUAACACCAUAUCUGUUCUGUACUACAAUUAUCAUAGCUAAUAGUUCACCUUGCGUGUCUAUGACUAGCUUAUGAGUUGUAACAGGUAACUAUGUAUUCACAUGCACAUUGGAAGAAAUUCUCUGCGUAUGCAGGGUUAUCACAGUGCCUAUCAAGGUGCCAGUGGAUUCGAAUCGUAUUUCGGCAAUUGAAUCACGUUUGUGUACCCGGUAUACAAACUGUUCAUGGUUAUAUGAUUCUCUAGUGAUUCAUUGGAAGCACAUCUUGUUGUAGGUUAUAAAUAUAUAUAUGUGAUAUUGUGAUUCGGAGGCAAGUAGAUCGGUACUCUAUCCGACCCGUCUUGAAACACGGACCAAGGAGUCUAACAUGUAUGCAAGCCAAACAGUCUUGAAUAGGCUUGAGAGGCGUAUUGAAAGAGAUUGGUAUGAUGUGAUGUCAUUAUCUUUAUCUAUAUUGUGGAUAAAGUUGACUCACCGCAAUACCAGCCUGUGGUAUAUCCUCUUUACCGAGAUUUCCGCAGAGUUAUAGUAUAUAUGUUAGUACCCGAAAGAUGGUGAACUAUGCCCGGGCAAGAUGAAGCCAGAGGAAACUCUGGUGGAGGUCUGUAGCGAUUCUGACGUGCAAAUCGAUCGUCAGAUCCGGGUAUAGGGGCGAAAGACUAAUCGAACCAUCUAGUAGCUGGUUU